CAGAACGAACGUUAGCGGCGCGCCUAACACAUGCAAGUCGAGCGAGAAGGGGCAACCCUGUAAAGCGGCGCACGGGUGAGUAACACGUAGGUAAUCUACCUCGAGGUGGUGGAUAACCUUCCGAAAGGAGGGCUAAUACAGCAUGGGACCACGUCUUCGAAAGAGGAUGAGGUAAAAGCGGGCCUCUAUACAUAAGCUCGCGCCACGAGAUGAGCCUGCGGCCCAUCAUGGUAGUUGGUAGGGUAACGGCCUACCAAGCCGAAGACGGGUAGCUGGUCUGAGAGGAUGAUCAGCCACACUGGAACUGAGACACGGUCCAGACUCCUACGGGAGGCAGCAGUGGGGAAUCUUGCGCAAUGGGCGAAAGCCUGACGCAGCGACGCCGCGUGAGUGAUGAAGGCCUUCGGGUUGUAAAGCUCUGUGGAGGGGGACGAAUAAGGGUUGGCUAACAUCCAGCUCGAUGACGGUACCCCCUUUAGCAAGCACCGGCUAACUCUGUGCCAGC
rnacentral:rRNA from 1 species